rnacentral:lncRNA from 1 species
AGAAGAUAAAUGACGGAAGAGGAACAGUUCAUCAACAAUUCAAACCAAGCUAAGCAUGAGAUAAAUGAAGCGAGUGGAAAUGAAAAUCCAAACCAAGUUAAGCAUGAGAUAAAAGAAGCGAGUAGAGAUUCAAAGGAAGGGGAUGAUAUACCUCUAACAGGUAAAAAUUUGAAACUUUUUUUAGUAAUUAAUAACAAAAUCUUUAAUUAUUGGAAUUGGACGUUGAUAAAGUGUAUGUUUUGUGGCAUUAGGAACAAUGAAGAAUGAUAGUGAAAACACGGUGGAGUGGACUCCUGAAGAACUCAAGCUUUUAGAUGAAGGGCUCAUAAAGUAAGUUUGUUAUUCUUUUUCUGUUCUUCUUCUAUCGAACUCAACGUUAUUGAUAUUAAUAAUUGAUUAACACUUUUCUAAUUUCUUAGGUAUGCUCAAGAAUCAAAUACAAGUACAGAGAAGUUUGCUAAAAUAGCACAAACGCGGCGAACGAAAACUCUGAUGCAGGUUAUGUCAAUGAGCUGAAAAAGGGUGAAUGCGAGGACUCCUGAAGAAUAACCAAAUUUGGGUAAAACUGGAGGUUUGUUUUUCUAAUUAGGGUUAGAAAUUAUUUGGGUAAUUAGGCACAAGUCCACUGUUCCUAGACUUUAAGUUUUUCCAAAGUGUUGGACUGAUCAAUAGGAAUUUUCCUAGUGGAAAAGUCCAAGCCCAACCCCACGAUCCGUUUUUGGGUUUGGAUUGGACCCAUUACCAUGAACCACUAUGAGUAUAUAAAUCCAUAAAAUCUUUUGGAUAUAAGUUUAUAGUCCACAACCACUAUCAUAAAGCCUUUUGGACUGAUUAAUAUGAAUUUUGCAAGUGGCCAAGUCCAUACCCAAGCCCACAAUCCACUUUUGGAUUUGGAUUGGACCCACUAUAAAGGACCACUAUGAGUAUAUAAAUCCAUAAAGUUUUUUGAAUAUAAGUUUAUUGCCCACAACCACUAUUAACUCUUUAAACCUUACAGUAAUUUUUUUUCAUAUGUAGGAGGGAAAAUAAAUCUUAUUAAAGAGCAUUGGUGUGUCAAUUGGAUUGGGACACGUACGUAUUACCAAUAUUUGAGUCUUGGGAUGAAGAUAGUUAUAGUAGGAAUCUUAGUGGUUGCUGCGAUUUUUGAUCUUACUCUUCAUGAGGUUGAAAUCAUGUUUCAUGUUAUCAUAGUAAUGGUUAUGACUUAUGAUAAAACUAUAUUCAAUAGUUUUAAUCUUUGAAAUGAUUGAAAAAU